AUGAAAUGAUGAUAAUUAUAGUCUGUGUAUAUGCACACAUACUUACAGACAUCGAUUGUUAACAUGCAUUUUGUGUAUACAACAGAGACGCAUUGCUUCGGAUGACGCCACCUUGCUGAAGAGAAGGCACAAACAAUUGCAAGAGGAGAAGAGUCGCCUCCAGAAAAGAUUGAAAGAGUUGGACGAAGGAAAUACCAGCUCAAGAACAAUGGGUGAAAGUUCCUGCAGCAUGCUCCAGCAAAGGAUCGUCGAAGAAGACCUCUUUAACGAAACAGAUCUCCCACUGUGAUUCCGAUACAUAUAUGCACCGGCCGCCGAGCUGGGGUCCCACGCG